UCCGCUUCCCGAACAAAUCUUAACCUAAUCCGCCAACGUUGUUGAUAUCUAGUAGGUUCAUGGUAACCUUAUCCUAAACAAUACCAAGAAUGAGAGCAUUCCUUGAUGCUUGAGUGGCGAGUAUAAAAGAAAGAGUCUUAUGGUUACCAUGGAGCACCACCUAUGAUUCCAGUACGGUAAGUUAUGCAGAUCAGCUGAGUCUUAGGUCCAGCCCCGCCCAUCGUGAAACCAAAGGCAAAGAAUUGUUCUUAUUCGGACAGAUUCCCGAGCUUCCAAACAUGCUUAAGUCGGAGUUAAAGUUCAGGCAGCAGAUCCACAACAAAAAUUUCACAGAGAAGCAUUUCGUGGGAGGAAAAGCAAAAAGGAAAA
rnacentral:lncRNA from 1 species